rnacentral:rRNA from 1 species
GACGAACGCUAGCGGCGUGCCUAAGCUAUGCAAGUCGAGCGGGGUUUCAGAGUCGAGUUUCCUUCGGGAGACAAAGCACUGAAACCUAGCGGCGAACGGGUGAGUAACACGUGAGCAACCUACCCCGUUGUCCGGGAUAACAGACCGAAAGGCCUGCUAAUACCGGAUACGAAGCUCCUUCGCAUGUUGGAGCUUGGAAAGGGGCAACCCGCAAUGGGAGGGGCUUACGGCCUAUCAGCUAGUUGGUGAGGUAACGGCCCACCAAGGCGACGACGGGUAGCCGACCUGAGAGGGUGACCGGCCACACUGGGACUGAGACACGGCCCAGACUCCUACGGGAGGCAGCAAGCGGGAAUCUUGCACAAUGGGCGCAAGCCUGAUGCAGCGACGCCGCGUGAGGGAUGAAGGCCUUCGGGUCGUAAACCUCUGUUGAUGGGGACGAAGAUCUGACGGUAC